rnacentral:rRNA from 1 species
AUUGAACGCUGGCGGCAGGCCUAACACAUGCAAGUCGAGCGAGUGGCGGACGGGUGAGUAAUGGCUGGGAAACUGCCUGAUGGAGGGGGAUACCUACUGGAAACGGUAGCUAAUACCGCAUACCAUCAGAUGUGCCCAGAUGGGAUUAGCUAGUAGGUGGGGUAAAGGCUCACCUAGGCGACGAUCCGUAGCUGGUCUGAGAGGAUGACCAUCAACCCGUGAACUGAGCCACGGUCCAGACUCCUACGGGAGGCAGGAGUGGGGAACAUUGCACAAGGGGCGCAAUCCUGAUGCAGCCAUGCCGCGUGUAUGAAGAAGGCCUGCGGGUUGUAAAGUAAUUUCAGUCGGGAGGCGUUACCAACAGAAGAAGCACCGGCUAACUCCGUGCCAGCAGCCGCGGUAAUUC